rnacentral:lncRNA from 1 species
CGCUUUUUGAAGGUAGACAUGCGCGAGAUGGAGAGAUGGCGGAAGCAGUUAUUCUUCCUUCGGGAAGUGCACGGAUCCAUUCUGUGUUAGACAGAUGACAAUGAUGGGGGAGUGAACUACAGUUAUUUAAAAGGAAACUGCAGGUGUUGGUGCCUGUGGCUGCUGUGACUGUGGAAUGCAGGGUCCUGGUCCUUUGUUCCAUCCUGCACACCGCGUGAGAGACGAGACAUGCAGAGGCCCAUCCAAGCAGGAGCAGGCUGAGGCGGAGUGGGACUAUGUCCUCCUGGCCCAGCACUGCACUCUGCCUGGCCCCCCUGUCCAGGACCUCAUCAGCAUAGAGCCCUCCUGUCCCCGCUGUCCCGCCUGCUCAGCAGCUGUCAUCCCUGCCCUUCUGCAAACCCACUGGGCUGAC